rnacentral:rRNA from 1 species
UACGUAGGGUGCAAGCGUUGUCCGGAAUUAUUGGGCGUAAAGAGCUCGUAGGCGGCCUGUCGCGUCGGCUGUGAAAACUCAGGGCUCAACCCUGAGCCUGCAGUCGAUACGGGCAGGCUAGAGUCCGGCAGGGGAGACUGGAAUUCCUGGUGUAGCGGUGAAAUGCGCAGAUAUCAGGAGGAACACCGGUGGCGAAGGCGGGUCUCUGGGCCGAUACUGACGCUGAGGAGCGAAAGCGUGGGGAGCGAACAGG